UGAGUGGCGGACGGGUGAGUAACGCGUGGGCAACCUGGCCUGUACAGGGGGAUAACACUUAGAAAUAGGUGCUAAUACCGCAUAACGGGGGAAGCCGCAUGGCUUUUCCCUGAAAACUCCGGUGGUACAGGAUGGGCCCGCGUCUGAUUAGCCAGUUGGCAGGGUAACGGCCUACCAAAGCGACGAUCAGUAGUCGGCCUGAGAGGGCGGACGGCCACACUGGGACUGAGACACGGCCCAGACUCCUACGGAAGGCAGCAG
rnacentral:rRNA from 1 species